rnacentral:rRNA from 1 species
CGCGUAGGCGGACUUUCAAGUCAGGGGUGAAAUCCCGAGGCUCAACCUCGGAACUGCCUUUGAUACUGUAAGUCUUGAGUCCGAGAGAGGUGAGUGGAAUUCCUAGUGUAGAGGUGAAAUUCGUAGAUAUUAGGAAGAGCACCAGUGGCGAAGGCGGCUCACUGGCUCGGUACUGACGCUGAGGUGCGAAAGCGUGGGGAGCAAACA